rnacentral:lncRNA from 13 species
GGUAAUGAGGCUUUGUAAACAUGUUUCCACCUACUGAAAAGGAAUUUAAGUGUGGUUGUAGCGCCUCUAAGAUGAGGGUGACACUGCUGUUGUAAAGAUAGAGUGGUCAUCACCAGUGUGUUGGUUGUAGCAGCAUUUGGUUGCAAGCAAAUCAAAAGAUACUAUGUAUUGAACAUAAUCAUGUGUCUAAUUACAAAUAUUCUAUAAAUUAAGACUUUCAGUUCCAGUGAUAGCUUUUUUUCCUAAAUGAAACCCUUGAGAUAAAAAAUAAUUAUCCUGAUGUAGAAAAUGUACCAUGCUGUUCAACACACUAUUGAAAACUUUCCUCACCCUUUCAGUAAGAUGUAAUCUACAGAACAUACCAUAAUAUUCCUUUUCUCCAUUUUAUCACUGACAGGUGGAUAAUAGAAAUGUUCUGGACAGUCAGAGUGCUGCUGGAGAUGACAUAUGAGAAGGUCAUAAAGCUCAAGUGGAGAAAUGCUUUCUCAGGUGAUCAUUCACUUUUUGCUGCUAAUUUUCAAUAUUAAGAAUCAUCUUGGCCACGGUUAAUAAUGUUGAAUGAUGUGUUAUUCCAUCCAAUGGGAUAAGAUGCAAAAGAUACAAUGACUUGGAGUGAGCUGAAAAAUGAAGGGGAAGAGCUGAACCAACCAGAACUUUACAAAUUCGCCUUAUGAUAAUGAAUCCCUGCUCCCUUCCUUCUCAGAGGAAUCAAUUCAAUUUUCCAUCCUGAGGAGCAAAGAAAAUGCCAGUCCAAUAGACUUUUAGUGUGGAUUGGCUGAAACCACAAAGAAAGAAAAAUUGUCUGAGAGUCCACGUGAGAGCAAGAGCAGCUCCCAUUCUGCAUCUUAAUGGCAGAAGAAAAUGACCAGCAAUUCUGCAGCAGAUUACAGAGUCAC